CAGUUUUAUUAUUAUAUCAACAUUUUGUUCGUAUUUCCAUUUCAAUCACCCUGUUUAUAACUUUUCUAUUCUGUGGUAGUCACCUUUUGUAACCUUCACAUUCGUUUAUUUCCGUACCUGCCCGUUUUAAUGUUGUAUAUUUCUAUUAUUGGUCUAAAAGCCAAUUUCCGCUUUAGAUAACCUAUGUAAUUUGAUACCGUAACCAUAUAUGGUAUUGUAAGCUUCGAUUGACCGCGUUAUUGGUCGGAGCAAAACAUCGUUGUUUCAUUGGGGCCGGAAAUGGAAAAAUUCAGCGUGUUUUACUUGCUAACCCGAAGAGAACGGUCGUGCGGUUCAUCCUGAUUUAAGUGCUAAUUUAGUUCCUGUUCAUUUGUUUUCAACAAUUUGGCGAAAGCAUCUUUAAAAAAACAAGUGAACCAUCAUUGUACCUGCCAUUUCUUUUUGGGCAUGGUAACCAUUUAAUCCGAAAGGAGUUCUUCUAAAGGAACGUAAGCAUUUGUAAGUUCUCUGUGUGUUCGAAUCCACACUACCGUUAUUUCUAUUUUAGGGGACCAUUCUGACAACGAUCGUAGGAUAACUUCCAUUCACUUUCGUACGUUCACGAAGCUCUUUUAUUUUCCGUUGACUCUCUCCAUGUAGAGAGUUCACGUAUUGGGGUCAAGAACUACGAUCAGACUGUUUACCUGUGAAACGAAACUAUAGACCACAUUGUGUUGCGGGUAAGGGGGCAUAGGAAAGUAAAUCGACUAAGUACUGGAGUGCAGUGUGUCCGAUCUAGCAUCAAACCAUUGAAAUAACUUAAUGGCCGAGUCGUACAUAUCUUGAAGCCGCUACCUUGCUUCCGAUACUUUGUGUAACACUUAGAGCAGCAUUUGUCAUUCAACGUGCAACCAUAUACCAGGACCUGUGGAAAAGAAGACCUAAACAUUGAUCGUACGGUGAUGUAGCAUUGUUAAACCUUUUUGUAAAUUUGUGUGUUUGCAUUUGACCCACCUCGGUGGUGAUCAAUUGAUAAUUGGCCUGCAUAGAGCCAAGAUUAUUACUGUUAAUUGGUAAGCUUGACAUUUUUGGGGUACAAUAUUUUAGCUAGUCCAAAGAUUACUCUCGUUAUGGAGUGAUAACAAUUUAUGUAAGGUACGAACGAGCUCGUAAGAACCGAAUAAUUUCAUUGCCCACUCAAGCUAUAAAUUAAGGUAUCUAUUUUCAAUUUAAUUCAUUAUUUUGCCACUAUAACGAUAUUUGUGUGUUAACUCCAGAGAUUCUGGUGUAUUUUAUUCAACAUUUUAUGGGAAAUUUUAUGUAAACCCCUUCUUUUGUUAACUUUGGGAGGAUUCAUAUUUUUAGUUGCUGCUUACCUUAAAUAAGAUUAUGAAUUCCCAGUGGGGAAUCUAGGUUGUGCAAUUUUGAAUUUAUUUCAUGGUGCAGUGCACCGAAUAAAACUUUUUAUUUGUGGGUCA